GAGCUCAGCAGCACCUAUACUAAAAUUGUAGUGAUACUGGGAAGGUUUGCAUGGCCUCUGUGCAAGGAUGACAUGCAAAUUUGUGAAAUGUUCCAUAAAGGG